GGCUGGAGUGGGGCAUACUCCUUUAACCGACAACUUUGGCUUAAAGAUUCACCUUGAGCCCUCCAAACCUUCUGAAUCCUGAGUAUGGUUUGGCAUUCUUGCUCCUCGGUCCUUCCUCCUGACUCUCCUUUCAUGGCAUCUGCAUAGAGUUGUUCUCUUCCACUGUUCUGUGUGCUUCCUCUUUUACAGGUUCUGGGCUUGUUAAAAUCCUGCAGCUGUGGAUGAGGGUGUCCCUUCCUCUCCUAUUUCUUUGUGUUUUUCCUGCCUGGAGUGUACUGGAUCUUCUGACAGGAGAACCUUGAAGCAAUCUUCUUGCUAGUCUUGGCCAAGAUUCAUAAGUCAUAAUGUCCUACCUUGCUCUGACCAAGAGAUCUGGAUAUCAAACUCUCAGCUACUUCUCUAGCAUCAUGUCUGCUUGCAUGCGGCCAUAUUCCCAGCCAUGAUGAACUGCAAGCCAGCCCCAGUUAAAUGCUUUCCUUCAUAAGAGUUGCUGUGGUGAUGGCGUCUCUUCAUAGCAAUAGAACACCGAUUACAAAAGCCAUCAGUUGUCAAUAAGCAAGGAGGUAGUCUGAAUUCACCGAAGAAUGAUGCAUGUCACCAAGAUAUCCUAGAGUGGGAAGAAGAAGUUGGCCAAGAAUCUAAGGAAGGAGGGAGCUUUGGUAUGAAGGUCAAAAGAAUCCUAGUAACAUGAUUGUCACACUGUGUGCAGAGGACUGGAAGGGUGGAUGUGGAUAUUGAAUGGUCAGGAGGAAUACACUGAACAAAUAAUUGGCUUUUACUUG